rnacentral:rRNA from 1 species
UGCCUCAGUAACGGCGAGUGAAGCGGCAACAGCUCAAAUUUGAAAUCUGGCCCCAGGCCCGAGUUGUAAUUUGCAGAGGAUGCUUCCGGUGCGGCGCCGUCCAAGUCCCCUGGAACGGGGUGCCACAGAGGGUGAGAGCCCCGUCGGGUCGGCCGCCAAGCCUAUGUGAAGCUCCUUCGACGAGUCGAGUAGUUUGGGAAUGCUGCUCUAAAUGGGAGGUAGACCCCUUCUAAAGCUAAAUACCGGCCAGAGACCGAUAGCGCACAAGUAGAGUGAUCGAAAGAUGAAAAGCACUUUGAAAAGAGGGUUAAACAGUACGUGAAAUUGUUGAAAGGGAAGCGCUUGUGACCAAACUUGCGCCGGGCGUUCAGCGGGCGUUCUCGCCCGUGCACUCGCCCCGGCGCAGGCCAACGUCGGUUCGGAUGGGUGGACAAAGGUGCUAGGAACGUGGCUCCCUCGGGAGUGUUAUAGCCUGGCGCGUCAUGCCCCCGUCCGGACCGAGGUUCGCGCUCUGCAAGGACGCUGGCGUAAUGGUCCCCACCGGCCCGUCUUGAAACACGGACCAAGGAGUCGAGGUUUUGUGCGAGUGUCUGGGUGUCAAACCCGCACGCGUAAUGAAAGUGAACGCAGGUGGGAGCUUCGGCGCACCACCGACCGAUCCUGAAGUUUUCGGAUGGAUUUGAAUAAGAGCAUAGGGCCUCGGACCCGAAAGAUGGUGAACUAUACUUGGAUAGGGUGAAGCCAGAGGAAACUCUGGUGGAGGCUCGCAGCGGUUCUGACGUGCAAAUCGAUCGUCAAAUCUGAGUAUGGGGGCGAAAGACUAAUCGAACCAUCUAGUAGCUGGUUACCGCCGAAGUUUCCCUCAGGAUAGCAGUGUUGGUCUCAGUUUUAUGAGGUAAAGCGAAUGAUUAGGGACUCGGGGGCGCUUUUUAGCCUUCAUCCAUUCUCAAACUUUAAAUAUGUAAGAAGCCCUUGUUGCUUAGUUGAACGUGGGCCUUCGAAUGCAGCAACACUAGUGGGCCAUUUUUGGUAAGCAGAACUGGCGAUGUGGGAUGAACCAUACGGGGGGUUAA